UACGAAGGGGGCUAGCGUUGUUCGGAUUUACUGGGCGUAAAGCGCACGUAGGCGGAUCGUUAAGUCAGGGGUGAAAUCCUGGAGCUCAACUCCAGAACUGCCUUUGAUACUGAGGAUCUUGAGUCCGGGAGAGGUGAGUGGAACUCCGAGUGUAGAGGUGAAAUUCGUAGAUAUUCGGAAGAACACCAGUGGCGAAGGCGGCUCACUGGCCCGGUACUGACGCUGAGGUGCGAAAGCGUGGGGAGCAAACAGG
rnacentral:rRNA from 1 species